rnacentral:rRNA from 1 species
CAGUCGCCGCGGUAAUGCGAAGGGGUCUAGCGUUGUUCGGAAUUACUGGGCGUAAAGGGCGCGUAGGCGGCCAUUCAAGUUAGAUGUGAAAGCCCUGGGCUCAACCUAGGAAUUGCAUUUGAUACUGUUUGGCUUGAGUUCGGGAGAGGUGAGUGGAAUUCCCAGUGUAGAGGUGAAAUUCGUAGAUAUUGGGAAGAACACCAGUGGCGAAGGCGGCUCACUGGACCGACACUGACGCUGAGGCGCGAAAGCGUGGGGAGCAAACAAGAUUAGAUACCCCUGUAGUCCCUGUCUCUUAUAC